rnacentral:lncRNA from 1 species
GAUCUUUCUUGAAGACUCUGGCCAGGAACUCCAUGAUCUGCAUCUUGGUGAUUUCACGGUUAGCUCUGGACCCCCAGAAGAACUCGUACUCGGGAGGCUCGAUGUGGGGCACACGCUGGUACUUCAGGUAAUUCUGCUGGACGAACUCCUCGGUGAUUAUCUUCCUCACGUCUCCGAAGGUGGAGUGCUUCUUCCAGGGCCUCAGCCCCAGGAUGCGCAGCACAUUCCAGACCGCACCCUCUCUGGCCCCGCGGCCCUUCACAUAGAUGAGGCUCAGGAUCAUGAGCAGGAGGCCUGUCAUGGGCAUACGGUUGUUGAGCGCCACCCUGUCUAGCUCCUCUGGGCUGAGGGCUUUGACCAGGGCAAACUCCAUGGUGUGGAGAUUGGUCAGCCUCAGGUGCAGCCCGAACACUCUGGCGAGGAUGACGCUGGUGCGCCUGAGGAUGCUUCUGCACCAUUUCUUGUAGCUGCCCAUGACCUCUUUCACCAUGUCUGGAAACCAGAGGACCAUCCUCUUCUGGUCCUUCACCAACACGUACCACAUGAGCUCGUGCGCCUUCUGCACCAGCUGGGCAGGGGCUGGCGGUGCUGGGAUCGGCCGGGCUGGACUCUGGGGCUGGUGGGCGCGGCCCUCCUCUGCGGCCUGCUGCAGGAUUUUAGGGUCAACAUCUUCUAUCCGUUCUUCGGGCGGUGGCGAGGCCUGUUGGGCUGCCAUAGGGCCUUCGGGAGCGCACGGUGGCCCUGCGAGGUUAGCGGCCAGAGAAGCGGGAGGAGGGAUCCCCACCGGAACGGCAUCGCUGUCCUGCAUCUCACAGUCGGGGACCUCGGCUGCAAAGUUAGGGUCGCUCAGGUCCUUACUUUGUUCCGACAUGUCUGCGCCUUCGGAUCAGAGCAGGACCGAUGCGGCUUGGAGCUCUUGGAGCGGGCACUCCCUCGGUGGAGACCAGCAGAGGAAGUGCGCUUUACUGAGCACUGCGCCUUCCGCAGCAGCGGGCGGGCGGGGCUGAUGCGAUAUUGCGCAUGCGUGUUGGGAAGCCAGAAGGGUGGUAGGGCUGGAAAGGAGCGAAGCAGCAAAGCCCAACCACUGGGGUCUAAGGGAGGGUACCACUAGGCUUAUGUAAAAGAUUUCCUGGUCUCCUGUAUGGCACAGAACUAGAUGAUGGUAGGGAAAGAAACAAGUUGAAGGAGAAAGAUGUAGCUGAGAUGGUGAAGUUAAGUUCGGACACACUGAGUUUGUGCAAAAUCAAAUUAAAUGUGAAGGUCCUGGAGAAAGACUUAAUUCUUGAUUUUGGUUUUUCUACAAAAGAAUAAGAGAAACAGAAAUGACUUUUUUUUCUUUUUUCUUUUGGAAAGCUGUACCUUAUGAUGAUGAUGAGUUGUUUAAGAUUGGAAUAUUGAGAAAUUAUUAAUAGAGAUAAAUUCUUACAUAUCUGAAUGCAGAUCAAACAAGGAAGAAUGUAAAGUGUAGUUACAGACACUGGAGAUAAAUCCAUGUGAGAUUUGAAUGUUCUAGAAGUAGUAGAUUCAUAUAGCAUAAUUGAUGGGAGUUUAAAAUUUUAAUUAAAAUGAGACUUGGUUCAGUGGUUAAGAGCUUUUGCAGUUCAAGCAUGAGAACCAGAAUUUAAAUCCCCCAGGCCCCACAUGAAAAUGAGGGAUAUAUAAAAUAUAUAUAUAUGCAUUCAUUCAUCAUUGGAUGCUCAGUUUGUUGGUUUUGAAUUAUUUUAAUAACUAUAGAUUUGGGCUCUCCAUUUCUAUUAGGUCACUUUGUUUUCAUCUAAAGCUUCCGUUAAGAUUCUAGUGGAAAAUGAUCAACAUAUUUAUUAAUACACAUUUUAUGACAGUGUAUUUUUCAUAUUUUCCCACUACCUUUUUGCCCUGCUCACUGCAUCUUCUGCGUUUAUAAGAAAUCUUCUACUUCUUAAAUUAUGUCAUUCACAAAUGACUAAUUCCAUGUUGGGAGCACAUCCAAAUCUUUCCCAAUAUAUUUUAAAUGCAGCUCUUUUCGAUACCUAACAGUCUCUCAUGAAUAAGAUGCAACAUAUUGGUGUCCAAAAAUAAAAAGGUAGAUCGAGAGGUCAUCUAAAGCUGAUAUUUCCUCAAACUCUCCUUUAUACAAUGACCAUUGUUGAAGCUUCCAAAGCCAGAAGUCCUUAGAUUUGAUCAUCUUUCUUGUUCUGAAAUAAUGGAAUUCCUUAGCCCUUCUCAUCACUUAAAGCGGACAGAUUUAAGAUAUCAUGUUGGCAUUCCUAGGUUCUAAAAUAUGUUUGUUUAGAUAUAACAGCUAUCUUUUACCCAGAAUAGUUAUGGCAAGAAGCGAUUCAGAGUUUUCCAGAUUUGAGAAUAUUUGCACAUGUACAAUAACUUGUUUUAAACUCCAGCCUAGACGUGUUAUUAGUUUGCUUCUUAUUGACAUUUUUGAAGGCAACACUUUCUCUCAGUUGUGAUCUACUCCGCGAGCUCUGAUGUGGAAUUUUUCACUUGUGACAUCCUGCAUAUCCUGGAAAAAGUUUCAGAUUGUAUAUAUUUGAGAUUUUAUGUGUUUGGGCUAAAAGUGCUCUAGUUCUCUGAUGCUCAUUAAUUGGAACUGUUUUUCUGCAAGUGGGUUGAGUUUGAAGAAUUUUCUGCACUAGAUCACUAUGUUUAUAUAUACAGUGUAUUUACCAUCUUGUACUCAAUGGAUUCAUGAAAACAAGUCACAAGUAUGGGGCUG